UACGGGGGGGGCAAGCGGUUGUUCGGAAUUACUGGGCGUAAAGGGCGCGUAGGCGGCCUGCUAAGUCAUACGUGAAAUCCCAUGGCUCAACCAUGGAACUGCGUGUGAUACUGGCGGGCUUGAAUUCGGGAGAGGGAUGCGGAAGUUCCAGGUGUAGCGGUGAAAUGCGUAGAUAUCUGGAGGAACACCGGUGGCGAAGGCGGCAGUCCUGGACCAACACUGACGCUGAGUGAGCGAAAGCCAGGGGAGCAAACGGG
rnacentral:rRNA from 1 species